rnacentral:rRNA from 1 species
AGACCCGAAACCCGGUGAUCUAGCCAUGGGCAGGUUGAAGGUUGGGUAACACUAACUGGAGGACCGAACCGACUAAUGUUGAAAAAUUAGCGGAUGACUUGUGGCUGGGGGUGAAAGGCCAAUCAAACCGGGAGAUAGCUGGUUCUCCCCGAAAGCUAUUUAGGUAGCGCCUCGUGAAUUCAUCUCCGGGGGUAGAGCACUGUUUCGGCAAGGGGGUCAUCCCGACUUACCAACCCGAUGCAAACUGCGAAUACCGGAGAAUGUUAUCACGGGAGACACACGGCGGGUGCUAACGUCCGUCGUGAAGAGGGAAACAACCCAGACCGCCAGCUAAGGUCCCAAAGUCAUGGUUAAGUGGGAAACGAUGUGGGAAGGCCCAGACAGCCAGGAUGUUGGCUUAGAAGCAGCCAUCAUUUAAAGAAAGCGUAAUAGCUCACUGGUCGAGUCGGCCUGCGCGGAAGAUGUAACGGGGCUAAACCAUGCACCGAAGCUGCGGCAGCGACACUGUGUGU